rfam:Vibro shilonii strain QT6D1 chromosome 1, complete sequence.
AAGUGUUAUCAACAAUAACUUGUUUUACCGACAUGACGCUGAUUUCCAUUGUUAUUGUUGAUGACAUAUGCUGCUUUUUCUUAUUAACUCCUAUUUUUUGUAUCCGCCCAAACCAACAUUGGUUUGGGCUUUUUUUA